ACUGUUUGUGUUCAUUUCAUUCAUCGCCGUGUUCUCGCCGCGUACGGACGUGCGUCGCGCGCAUUGUGUGUGUCUCCUACCCGGGUUAGGCCGAAUUACGUACGUUGCGUGUUGCGCGUGAAGCUGCCGAGUAUCGAAACGUUUACAGUGCUACGCAACCGGCCGACUGGUGCUUAAUAUUAGACCGUGUGAUGGCGAAGUGCAAAAGCGUGUACAACACCUGAACCCCACGACGCGGCAACCGGCGUACGGUAGAUAUAUUGUGCAAGUGUUUGUAACAGCGCGACAGUGCGGCAUUCGUAUUUUUGUGGGUUUUAAAUGGUUUCGUUUCGAUUUACAAGCUAUGCGUGUGUGUGUGUGUUUGCGACCUCAGCCAUAAGAUAACCGGCGUACCGGAAUUCAUCAAAGCCCGUCCCCCGUUCACCGCAUAAAUCGUUCCUUACACCGGGGGUCGUUUCAUUCGUAGGUGUUAUCUGUGAUUGUUUGUGUCCGGUUAUCGUGACGUGCGGUGUGCGCAAUAUCCCAUCACCUUCAACUGUUGGCCCCAGACAGAGGCGUACAAAAAAAAUGUAACGUACAUCAGAAAAGGGUCAUCUGCGAAACGAAAGCGAAACACCAAACUAAAAAAAAAAGUGCACAAGUGAAGGGAACGCAACGCAUCGCCUGGUGUUUGGGCCACGUUUUCGAUUAAUCAAUCGAAAGAAAAAUCGGUCGAACGUGAUCUAGUCCAACGAAGCAGGGAAAAAUACAACGUUUUGCUAGGGUGGCUGAGUAGCAGCGACCAGACGAUAGGCCCCGGCGAGAGCAUUAUGUUGGACUGUGUCGUCCCCUGCCUGCUGUGGUGCAAAGAAAUUGGCACUGCGUGAUCGAGCACGGGGAAGAAAUUCGUUCCAGUUCCGAAUAAUGGUGACCUCCUCGUUGUGAGGGAGCACAACUAAAGCGAAAAAUUGGAGCAACUUGGCUCCGGUGAUAGUGAAGGGCCCAGCAUCGUCACUCCGGCUCUGCUUCGUGCAAAACAAAAACAAAACCCGGCUAGCAGUUGUUGAAGUAAUACGGUCGUCGGGUCGGUCGAACACACACACACGUGUGCUGCAGCUGAUUGUGUUUUGUUCGCCGGGCGGUAGCUAUUUGUCAAUAUUUUCGGAAUUUGGUUCAAUAAUAAAACGGUGGGGUUUUGAUUUGAAUAGAUCGCGGUUCCCGUUCGCCUCUGUGCGUUCCUUCGUUGGUGUUUGUGUAUGAUGUGUAUGUGUGUGUAUGUGCAAGUGUCUAUGUGGUGUGGUAUAAGUGAUUGAUCUUCCACCGGCAAGGCGACAGCAGGAGAUCAAAGAUUAGAGAAGAAAAAUCGUCUCCGCUGGAUACGGUUUGUAGCGAGGCAAUUUCCCUUGCUUGGGUUUUCUGGAAGGCAAUGUGAGAGUGAAAGUGAAAAAUUCUCGUUCCUUCGCUGUGGAAAGAAAAAAAGAAAAGAGUUCAAUAUAUUCAAUCAAAGGAAAGGUUAUUUUUCCCUCAUUCCGAGCAAUCCUUGUGUGCUGUGCUGUGAUUCUGUGAGCGUUUGCGGCUUUGAAAAGCAAAGGGUUGACGAAAAUAAAUCGCAAAAAAAAAAUUAAUUCAAAUUAUUAAAUUAAGGUGUGCUUUUUGUGUAAAAAAGAAGAGGCCAGUUUCAAGGUUGCAAAUCAGCUGGAUAUUGAAACACACUUCAAAGUACCGGAUCCUAACAUUCGCCCUGUGGACAGGGAAGUUCUUCUACUCUCAGACGUCAAUAAGAAAGAUAAGGUACGAAACCACUAAAACUCGCUCGCGCACCGGCGCACACGGUGGAACCGAAUACAUGUUACUUGGUAAAGUUAAAUGAAUGUGUAAACGCUGUCAUCGUGCGUAUUGGAAAGUAUUGGUGUCGCAUAAUGUAGUCCGACACGGCCCCCAUUUGUGCAAUGAAAUGAUCCGGCGUUUAAAAAACCCCCCGAACGGUAACUCAUAAAGCCCGACGCUGGGGGGAGUUUUCGUUUAUCAUUAUCAUCAUGUGACACGAGAUCUUGGCUGGUCGCCGGUGGUAUGUGCGCGCCAUCAAACGACAUAGUCCGGAAUGCAACAACAAACCUCCCUGUUUUCCCUUCUCUUUUAUUUUUGUCAGGGAUGGUUUUAUUUUGUGUGCCGCUCGAGUUUAAUUUUCAUCAUCUCAUCAACUACCACACACCGGAGGGCAAUCACCAUCGUCGUAAACCUGUUUUGGUGGCAAUAGGAAGGAGCAUUUGGGCAUUGGUUUUGCGCAAACCAUCCCAGAGACACACACACUUUGUAUGACGAAUUUCUCCCCUUUUGGCCGGCAAACCUGACCGCCAAGAAGAUGGUCGUAAAACCAAAACCGCUCAAGCUCUGUUUGUCGUUUUACAGCAGCUUUUGUGGUUUUGUGUUGUCUUAAAGAUUGUGUUCUUGCGCUGGCGGCUGCGCCAUGAUUCAUAGCAUUAAAAACAAAGACCCGCGGACAUUCCACACGAGUGCGGGAGAGUCACAUCGGUAAGCGAUACCUUUUGUGCCGAAAAAGAACCAACCGAACGGGCAGGGUGGUGACACAUCAUUUAAUGAUGAUUUCUUUAAAGC